GUGCGCUCCACGUCAGAUUUUCUACACCGCCCACAGUGCACAAAGAAUUUCUCUAUUAUAAAAGCCCGGCCCCCUGGGCUACUUUUAUUCUGAAGUCGGCAAAUCCAUUACUGACUUCAACCAUGAAUUUUGAAAAAAAAUUAAGAUCAAAAUAAAGGAGAUCUCAAUCCCCAGCUCGAUCCUCAUUACCAAGGGAUAAGGCCAUCCAAUGGUAGCCGAUGCGAGG
rnacentral:lncRNA from 1 species